UACGUAGGGUGCGAGCGUUGUCCGGAAUUACUGGGCGUAAAGAGCUCGUAGGUGGUUUGUCGCGUUGUUCGUGAAAUCUCACGGCUUAACUGUGAGCGUGCGGGCGAUACGGGCAGACUUGAGUACUGCAGGGGAGACUGGAAUUCCUGGUGUAGCGGUGGAAUGCGCAGAUAUCAGGAGGAAUACCGAUGGCGAAGGCAGCUCGCUGGGACGGUACUGACGCUGAGGCGCGAAAGCGUGGGGAGCGAACAGG
rnacentral:rRNA from 1 species